CUGGGCGUAAGAGCAUGUAGGCGGGUAUUUAAGUCAGGAGUGAAAACUAUGGGCUCAACCCAUAGCCUGCUCUUGAAACUGGAUACCUUGAGGGUAUGAGAGGAAAGCGGAAUUCCCAGUGUAGCGGUGAAAUGCGUAGAUAUUGGGAGGAACACCAGUGGCGAAGGCGGCUUUCUGGCAUACAACUGACGCUGAGAUGCGAAAGCGUGGGGAGCGAACGGGAUUAGAUACCCCGGUAGUCCACGCCGUAAACGAUGGGUACUAGGUGUAGGAGGUAUCGACCCCUUCUGUGCCGUAGUUAACACAAUAAGUACCCCGCCUGGGGAGUACGGCCGCAAGGUUGAAACUCAAAGGAAUUGACGGGGGCCCGCACAAGCGGUGGAGCAUGUGGUUUAAUUCGACGCAACGCGAAGAACCUUACCAGGGCUUGACAUCCUCUGACGUCCUAAGAGAUUAGGAGUUUAGGAGCUUGCUCUUAACAGAGAGACAGGUGGUGCAUGGUUGUCGUCAGCUCGUGUCGUGAGAUGUUGGGUUAAGUCCCGCAACGAGCGCAACCCUUAUCUUUAGUUGCCAGCAAUUCGGUUGGGCACUCUAGAGAGACUGCCGGUGACAAACCGGAGGAAGGUGGG
rnacentral:rRNA from 1 species